UGAAUUUAUCGGGUUUUAUAUACGGUGCA
rnacentral:piRNA from 1 species